UAAAAAGAUGUAUUAAUGUCUAUUCAUCUAUUAAUGAGAAGAGAGCAAGCCUUCGGAAACUUUUUUAUAUAAAUUAAAAUAAUUAAAAAUUAAAUUUAUGAAAUAAAAAUUUGAAAAAAUUGUUUCUACAUAAAAAUUUUUAAUCGUCAGAUGUCAGCUAUUUUUGGUGUCACGAAAUACAAAUCUGUAAAAAUAAGUGAUUAAAAAAGAAAUGAGUUACUUAGAGGUUGCUAUAUAAAAUUUAAUUAAUAAUUAAUCAUAAUAAAUAUGUUAAACUAAGUGCUUGUUUUGAUGACGUUGCAUCUUUCUUGAGUGAAAUCUUGAAUAAUAUUAUAAUAGUAAAAAUUACAGGUUAUGAAUGAAAUUUAAAAAUUUUCAUUAAUUAUAUGUUGUUGUAAACUUCUAUAAAUUCUUAUUCACUAGAUUCCAUUCUACCUUCAAAAACCUCUACUUCGUUGAUUAUCGAGUGUAUGAUUAAAUAGGAACAGGAAUUAUAAAUAUUGUUAUUAGCACUAUCAUUGAUAAAUAAAUAUUUAUCUUCAAAAAAAAAAUUAUUUUGCACUUUAUUGAAUUAUUAUUUUG